rnacentral:lncRNA from 1 species
CACCCAAGGGAGGGGAAAAGCCAGGUUGGCUAGCAUUUCUGGGAGGAGGCGCGGCCCGCCCCGCUGGCCAAGGCAGCCGGGACGGUGGAGAGGAUUAGGAUGGAGUGGAGGCCUUCAGAUUUGGCAAGGAGGAGGGCACUUGUGACUGUGGAGAGAGAGCCGUAGGUGGAGGGAGAGGGAGGAGGGGAGGGAGCUGGGGGAAAAGUGGAGGCAGAGAUUUGGAGCAGAAAGGAGGUGGGGAGGGUGUCCCGCGGUCUGUCCCAGCCAAGCAGGGGUCAGCUUCUUGCUGCCCGUCCCCUCCCGGGGCAACGAAGUCUUCUUCUGGGCCGUUAAUUGAAUGGGAGAUAGCGCUUCUCCGCCGAGGCCUGAAAGCUCAGGUCCUCCCGUCUUCCCUUCCCCCCUCUCCCCCGAACCAGCUGGGCCGACACCUGGGACUCCCGGCCCGGCACCGGACGCCGACGACGCCCCGGUGAAUGUCACCAUCACGGUGACCGCCGCGCCCUGAGGCCCAACCGGCGCCGGCCGACCCCUCUCCCCACCACACCCCGAUUCCUCCGUCUCCCCACCCGUAGUUCGGCUCGACCUCGAAACCGAGUCCCCCCGCUGGCGUUCUGUGCUCCUCUCCUCGUCGUGGGGGUCGGGGGGGGCGGACGGCCGCCGCCCCGCGGGUCAAGCCAUCGCUUCUGUUCUGAACGGGGAACCCCCCGUGGUUGGGAGGAGGGGGCGGGGGCAACCCCGUUGGCACCCAGGGUGGAAGAAGUCUCCAGGGAGGCGGGCAGGGGGACUGGGGCUUGGAAAUCAAUAAAUAGGGGCCAGGCCACGGGGGUCAUCGCCCAGGCCUAAGGUCGUGUUGUGUUUCCGGUGGGCAUGCUUGCGUCCGCCUCCCAGGACGGGGCAGGGCCUGGGGGUGGAGCCCGAAGAGGAGGGGUCAGCAGGGGACGACCUCGCCCGCUCCGUGCCCGCAGCAGGGGCAGAGGCCCAAAGGGAGACCGCGGAGUCCCCCGGCCGAGGGAGCCUGGCCUCCCAGAGGGAGAGCUAGAGGGAGAGGGGAGAGGCCGUUUCCCCCUGCAGGGGCAGGGAAAAUAUAGCGUACUUUUCUAUACGGUACAAAAACAUGCAGCCGGAAGCCGGGGCGUUCCAAGACAACCAACCCAGGUGGAGGGAACGUGGGCGCGGGCAGGGGAGAGACCGCGGGCCUCGGGUUCGACGGCGGGGGCCGGCCGCCGGGGGAGCCCCUCGCCCGAGGGGCCCCCUGCCCUCCCCGGCCGCUCGCCCGGGAGGAGGUGCGGGCCUCCUGGGGGGAGGAGGGACUCGGGGGGGGGUGGGAGGGGACGGGCUCGGCUGCUACCAGGACGGCGCCAACCCCAACGCCGAGCCCAUCCCGGGCCCGCCGGCCCCCCGGAGGGCUCGGCCCGGGCCCCGGCCAGCCUGGGGCGGAGGGAGGGCCCGGUCCGCCGGAGGGCCCGGGCCCGGGCCGGCGGGGGGAGGGACGGGGGUGGCCGCCUCCGCCGCUCCGAGCAGGGAGGGGUCGGGCCCGCCGCGAGCAGGCUCCGGAGGGAGAGUCACCACGGCAACGAGAUUCCGCACCGAGGGCCGCGGCGCUAG